ACAGAUUCAGCUUUAAUUCACAUAUAAACAUUGAUCAGUGAACAUAAACAGAAGCUCAACUGUACUUGUUUUUGACUCGAGAACAAUUACUUUAUUUGUUCUUGUGGAAGCUCAAACGUGCUGAGAAACACUGUUACUAGUUUCAUUUUUAUGUUAAGAUUUUACAGUUUCACUUUGUCAAGUAGAGACAUUUUAUUUACAUUAAAAAUAUGUAAUUAUAGCUUACAGAUUUUAAAAACUGACAAACAAAAAAUUACAAAAUAGCAGCACAUACAUAAUGUUUUCAGAUUUAAUUAUUAAGAUCAUUGCUUUCAUCUCCUAUUUCACAUUGGGGUGUAAAUUCAUUUAUUGUAUUUGACAGGUGUGAUGAUCAGUGGAGUUGAGUUUUUACCUCCAUUAUUAGGUUCUGGACUAAAAUAUGGAUAGAGUUUGUCAGUGAAAGACUGACCAGUGUAAGAGUAGAUAUGAGAGCUGGACUCCACAUCAUAAAAGGAGACCAGACCCUCCUCAUAAUCCACAAACACACCGACCCGCUGCGGCUUCACUCUCAGACACAGAGAGACAUCAGGACCAGCACAGGCUUUAUAUUCAUUCCCAUUCCUCAGAACCACAGUCCAGAAUCCAUCACUGGGUCUCAGUGUGAU